rnacentral:rRNA from 1 species
AGAGUUUGAUCAUGGCUCAGAUUGAACGCUGGCGGCAGGCUUAACACAUGCAAGUCGAGCGGAGAUGAGGUGCUUGCACCUUAUCUUAGCGGCGGACGGGUGAGUAAUGCUUAGGAAUCUGCCUAUUAGUGGGGGACAACAUUUCGAAAGGAAUGCUAAUACCGCAUACGCCCUACGGGGGAAAGCAGGGGAUCUUCGGACCUUGCGCUAAUAGAUGAGCCUAAGUCGGAUUAGCUAGUUGGUGGGGUAAAGGCCUACCAAGGCGACGAUCUGUAGCGGGUCUGAGAGGAUGAUCCGCCACACUGGGACUGAGACACGGCCCAGACUCCUACGGGAGGCAGCAGUGGGGAAUAUUGGACAAUGGGGGGAACCCUGAUCCAGCCAUGCCGCGUGUGUGAAGAAGGCCUUUUGGUUGUAAAGCACUUUAAGCGAGGAGGAGGAGCUCUAGAUUAAUACUCUAGAUGCUUGGACGUUACUCGCAGAAUAAGCACCGGCUAACUCUGUGCCAGCAGCCGCGGUAAUACAGAGGGUGCAAGCGUUAAUCGGAUUUACCGGGCGUAAAGCGUGCGUAGGUGGUCUUUUAAGUCGGAUGUGAAAUCCCUGAGCUUAACUUAGGAAUUGCAUUCGAUACUGGGAGACUAGAGUAUGGGAGAGGAUGGUAGAAUUCCAGGUGUAGCGGUGAAAUGCGUAGAGAUCUGGAGGAAUACCGAUGGCGAAGGCAGCCAUCUGGCCUAAUACUGACACUGAGGUACGAAAGCAUGGGGAGCAAACAGGAUUAGAUACCCUGGUAGUCCAUGCCGUAAACGAUGUCUACUAGCCGUUGGGGCCUUUGAGGCUUUAGUGGGCGCAGCUAACSCGAUAAGUAGACCGCCUGGGGAGUACGGUCGCAAGACUAAAACUCAAAUGAAUUGACGGG